rnacentral:rRNA from 1 species
GAAUCUUGCGCAAUGGGCGAAAGCCUGACGCAGCAACGCCGCGUGGGGGAUGAAGGCUCUCGGGUUGUAAACCCCUUUCAGUAGGGACGAAUUCAGACGGUACCUACAGAAGAAGCCCCGGCCAACUACGUGCCAGCAGCCGCGGUAACACGUAGGGGGCAAGCGUUGUCCGGAUUUACUGGGCGUAAAGAGCUCGUAGGCGGUUCAGCAAGUCGGGUGUGACAAUUCCAGGCUCAACCUGGAGAGGUCAUUCGAUACUGCUGUGACUAGAGUCCGGUAGGGGAGUGUGGAAUUCCCGGUGUAGCGGUGGAAUGCGCAGAUAUCGGGAGGAACACCAGUGGCGAAGGCGGCACUCUGGGCCGGAACUGACGCUGAGGAGCGAAAGCGUGGGGAGCGAACAG